rnacentral:rRNA from 1 species
CUGCGGGGGAAGAGCAACAGGGAUUGCCUUAGUAACGGCGAGUGAAGCGGCAAAAGCUCAGAUUUGAAAUCUGGUGCCAUAGAGGCAUCUGAGUUGUAAUCUGUAGAGGAGUAUUCGAGUGUGGCUUUGGCUUAAGUUCCUUGGAACAGGGCGUCAAAGAGGGUGAGAACCCCGUUUGCGGCCUUUGUCUUAUGCUCAUGUGAAUCUCCUUCAACGAGUCGAGUUGUUUGGGAAUGCAGCUCUAAAUGGGUGGUAAAUUCCAUCUAAAGCUAAAUACUGGCAAGAGACCGAUAGCGCACAAGUAGAGUGAUCGAAAGAUGAAAAGAUCUCUGAACAGAGAGUUAAAUAGUACGUGAAAUUGUUGAAAGGGAAGCACUUGCUACCAGACACACUUGCAAUUAAUCAGCCUCCAUUUUUGGUGGUGCACUUGGUUGUAGGUGGGUCAGCAUCAGUUAUAGCGGUAGGAAAAAGACAUUGGGAAUGUGGCUUCUCUUGGGAAGUGUUAUAGCCCAAAGUGUAAUGCUGCCUGCUGUGACUGAGGACCGCGCUUUGGUGAGGAUGCUGGCAUAAUGGUUGUAAGUGACCCGUCUUGAAACACGGACCAAGGAGUCUAACAUCUAUGCGAGUGUUUGGGUGUAAAAACCCUUGCGCGGAAUGAAAGUGAAUGGAGGUGGGAACCGUAAGGUGCACCAUCGACCGAUCCUGAUGUUUUCGGAUGGAUUUGAGUAGGAGCAUAGCUGUUGGGACCCGAAAGAUGGUGAACUAUGCCUGAAUAGGGUGAAGCCAGAGGAAACUCUGGUGGAGGCUCGCAGCGGUUCUGACGUGCAAAUCGAUCGUCAAAUUUGGGUAUAGGGGCGAAAGACUAAUCGAACCAUCUAGUAGCUGGUUCCGGCCGAGUUUCCUAAGGAAAAGACCCAAAAACAAGCUACUAGAAUGGUUCGAUUAAGUCUUUCGGCCCCUAUAACCAAAUUUGAAGCAUCGAUUUGCCGUCAGAACGCUGCGAGCAUCCACCAGCAGUUUCUCUGGGCUUCACCCUAUUCAGGCAUAGUUCACAUCUUUCGGUCCAACAGCUAUGGCUCUACUCAAUCAUCGAAAACAUCAGGAUGGAUGCAUGGGUGACGUACGGGUCACUCCAUUCCUUUCAUCGGCAAGGUUUUACCAACCUCGCAUAAGUUAGAUUUGGAUCGGUUCGAAGGCUUACACUUUAUGCCAACUUCCAAGCGACUCA